AUUCAAAAGAAAAUCCUAUUCCUGCGAGGGUGUGUGUGUGUGAGGGACGGUGUCUGUGAUGGGGGAUUUACUACGCUGAGUCUGAUAUUCAUGAUACCGGUAUUACGAAAUACAUACAUGCAAGAAUCGAGUUACAGCCUUAGAUCACAUAUCAAAAUAAUUACCGGUAGUACUUCCUGGUGGUGUUAGGAAUACACGUGUGCAUUCUUACAGUGAACCACCAAUAAUAAACAGACAUGAGAAAUGAGCUGAAUCAUUAUGAGAGAAAAUGGAACAAAAAUCGAACUUUUAUUCACCGUCCUUUGGGUUGCAGCAAAAGUGAUACAUAUGAACGGUUUGUUUUGUGAUACAGAGUAUGCGGGAUAUUGAGGACGUAUAUUACAAACCUUGGACUUCUCAGUACAUUUACAAAGGAGUCAAUCAAUCCAUGAUAUUACGCAGCAUUAGUUACUGAAAAGAAGUUUGGAACACCCUUGUGACGAAUCUAAAUAUUUUUCUCAACAUUGAAGCAACAAUAGUCUUGGAUAACUUGUUUUAGGGAAAGAAAACUGGCCUGAGUUUGUUUUUUGUCUGGAAAUCUGGAUCUUUUCCUUAGGAAAAAAUUCCACUAGUCAAGAAGUUUUGGUAGAAAAGCUUUCCGUUUUGGAUUUCUUGCAAUCAGGGACAUAAGAGUGCAUCAGUGAUUUCUCUCUAUUGGAUACGCACGAAGCUUCUAGAUGCAGCGUUUUCUGUGAUUGGAAAAAUAUAUGACAAGAAAGAUGCUCCACUACAUACCAAAGUUUUGAAUGCUGAAGUAACUGUGCAAGGAUACCAUAGGAUCUGUCCCUGCGUGUUUAGUCUAAUAUACCACUAUUCAAUUCAUCCACACGUUCAAAAUGAAGGCGAGGGCAAUACCUGUGCACUCGAAACCAUCUCAUCAAACCUUAUUCACAUCAAUUUCAACGUAGCUAUUUAUGUAAAAACUAUAUGUAUAUAGAACUGUAUUUAGCCUUCCGGUGCCUUCGGAUAUUGGUCUUGUCUCACAAGAGCUGCGUAUAUCUUUUUAGAGCAAAAUACAUGGAGUAUUUUAUUUUUCUCACAAAAAACUGUAAGGAACCUACUAAAGGAAUGUACAUAGCCUUAGCCUCCAAGAAGAAAAGUUUUACUCUGGAGCUAGUAUUCUUUUCUUAGUAGAACUGAAUAAAGCCCUCUAGAGAAAUAUUACUCCACAGUUUUUCAAAUGAUAAUUGUACUAAGCCGUCUAGAGGAAUAUAACAGCAUAGUUCACAUUUUGUAUUACAAGAACUCUACGUAGAAUUCAAAAGAAUAUUACUCAUUUGUUCAUAUUUCGUCUAAUUAGGAAUGUACAAAGUCUCCUAGUGGUGUUGUAUUAGAAAUGUAUGUAAAUUUCGAGAGGAACACACCUUCGUAGUUCUGAUUUUGUCUUAUAAGAAAUGAACAUAGCUUUCUAGAGGAAUAUAACUCCGUAGUUCAGAUUUUGCCCUAUCAGAAAUGUACAUAGCAUCAUGGAGGAAUAUUCCCCCGUAGUUCAGAUUUUGCCCUAAUGGCUAUUAGAAAUGCACAUAGACCUCUAGAGGAAUAUUCCUCCGUAGUUCAUAUUUUGUCUUAAUAGAGAUUAACAUAGCCUCCUAGAGGAAUAUUACUCUGUAAUUCAGAUAUUGUCUUUUUUGAGAAUGAAGUACAUAUAGUCUCAUAAAGGAAUAAUACUCCGUAGUUCAGAUUUUCUUAUUUAGAACUGUACAAACUCCUAAGAUAGUUCAAUUUGUCCUUCAUAGAACUGUGCAUACAUAACCUUCUGGAGGAAUAUUACUAUGUAGAAAAGACUUUGUUUACCUCCACUUAUGCUGAGUUUUCACCUCGCAUUCUAGAUGUCUUUUUACAACUACACAAAUUCUAUCAGAUAUAUUAUUUACUCUGUAGUUAAUUUUCGUUUUGUAGAGGAUGUAAAUAAGAUUUUGUUUCAUUUGUGUCAUAAUAACCUUUUUGAGGAACCCCGUAUAUAUUUUGUUUUAUUGGAAUUGCAGUUUUUAAGAGAAAUAUUACUUUUUGGAUGAAAUUUUGUCUUUUUAGAGCUCCUCAAAGUCUUUCAAUUGAAUAUUAUUACGUAGUUUAUUUUUUUGUUUAGUCAGAAUUGCAAUCCUCCAGAAAAAUAUUACUAGUAUUUCAAAGAUAUGUUUUUACCUCUAAGUGUUGUAAAUAUCUAGAGGAUUAUUACUCCGUCGAUAAACUUUCGUCGUAGUACAUGUAUAGCAUUACAUAGAGGAAUAUUACUCUGUGGCUCAGAUUAAGACUUAAUAGAACUGUGUAAUAUAAGCCUUCUGGGGGAAUAUUACUCCCUAGAUAAGUGUUUGUCGUAGCAGAUCUGUACAUAGAAAACUUUUACCCCGUAGUUCAUAUUUUGUCUUAACAGACUUUACUCCGUAGUUAGAUUUUGGCUCAAUAGAGCUGUGCAUACAUAGGUAUAGCCUUCUGGAGGAAUAUUACUCCGUAAUACAGAUAUUGCUUCAAUAGAACUUUGCAUACUUAGCGUUCUGGAGGAAUAUUACUCUGUAGAUAAGUUUCGUCGUAGUAGAGCUGCACUUAGAGGAAUAUUACUACAUAGUUCAGAUUAUUUCUUAUAAUCAUCGUACAAAAUCUUCUAGAGGAAUAUUACCCUGUAUACGAGAUUUUGUCUUACUUAGGCCUUACAACAUUUUUGUUUUAGUUUAGAGUUGUAAAUAACCUUAGAGGAAUAUUACUCUGUAGUGAAUUUUCAGACUUCAGAAGCUUUGCAUUGGUCUUACGGAGGAAUAUUACUCCGGGGGUAAUGGGUGAAGUUUUUGUCACACUCGAAUUGUACAUGUGCGUAUAUUUAUAGAGGAAUGUUACUCCAUACUUCAGUGUUUUGUAGAAAGACUGUUCUAAAUAUGAAUAAAUUUUUUAAGAAGA